UACGUAGGGAGCGAGCGUUGUCCGGAUUUAUUGGGCGUAAAGAGCUCGUAGGCGGCUUGGCAAGUCGGAUGUGAAAACUCCAGGCUCAACCUGGAGACGCCAUCCGAUACUGCUAUGGCUUGAGUCCGGUAGGGGACCACGGAAUUCCUGGUGUAGCGGUGAAAUGCGCAGAUAUCAGGAGGAACACCAAUGGCGAAGGCAGCUCGCUGGGACGGUACUGACGCUGAGACGCGAAAGCGUGGGGAGCAAACAGG
rnacentral:rRNA from 1 species